CUCCUCAGCGACGCUGCCUUGGAUGGCGGCUUCGCACGGCAGGCCCGGUAUCUCUGAGGCCGGUUCUCCCCAGAGGGGACCUGACAGGGAGCUGGAAAGUCCAGGAGUCCGUUCUUCCCGCUGCCCGUGAGCCGCCCUCACACCCUGUCAGAAAAGUUGUGUCUAAAGCCUGGCCUUAGAAAGUCUGUCAGGUCUUCCUUCGGAGCCUCUCGCCUUUAAUCUCCACAGGAAAAAGCGGGUUAGGGAGACUCAGACGGGAAAGGAGCAUGUCAAUACCUCAGGUGAUUUGCGAAAUGAUCUUCUGACCCCAGAACUCCGAGUCAAGCCAUGCGCCACACCCUUUCCAGGGCCCAUCGGUACUGGAUCAUCUGUUGCAAUCAGUUGCCGAGGCUUCACCACUGGUAUGCCUAUGAAAAAGCAAGGGCACGGGGUGGGCACCGUGGUGCAGCAAACUAAACUGCUGCUCGUAAGCUUGUGAUGCUCGCAUCUCACACUGGAGUGCCUGAUCCAUGUCCUGAUUGUGCUUCUGAUCCAGCUUCCUGCUAAUGCACCCAGGAGGUUAGCAGAGAUACCCCCAACUGGUGGGCGGACUUUGCUGAAGAGGCGAAGGGCUAGCUGUCGCCCAGAUUGGCAGGAGCUCUGGGGCCGCAGAACUACCUGUACAGUAAAGUUAACAACAGUCCAACACAAU